CAGCAGCCGCGGGAAUACAGAGGGUGCGAGCGUUAAUCGGAUUUACUGGGCGUAAAGCGUGCGUAGGCGGCUUCUUAAGUCGGAUGUGAAAUCACUGAGCUUAACUUAGGAAUUGCAUUCGAUACUGGGAAGCUAGAGUAUGGGAGAGGAUGGUAGAAUUCCAGGUGUAGCGGUGAAAUGCGUAGAGAUCUGGAGGAAUACCGAUGGCGAAGGCAGCCAUCUGGCCUAAUACUGACGCUGAGGUACGAAAGCAUGGGGAGCAAACAGGAUUAGAUACCCGAGUAGUCCCUGUCUCUUAUAC
rnacentral:rRNA from 1 species